UGGAGAUCCCUCCUUUGGAGUUUUACAGUGAGCCUAGGACACAGUGUCUUUCUCCAGAGACAGAGGCAAUCUGUGGAAGCAAAUUACCUCUCAAAAUGAAGAGAAUUGUACUGCUAUCCAUGGUGGAGCCGCAAGACUGAGACGGCACUUCUGGUUUACAUUUGUCCUUAACUUCUAUAUCAGAGAUCUGCAGUGAUGCAUGGGUUUUGUCUGGGUGUUCAAUUCCUCCCUCAUCAAGCCACAAAGGACCUGGCCAUUUCACUCUCUGCUACCCAGCCUUCUGGAGGAAGAUGGAUCCACUCUGUUAUUGACAGCUAAGACAUUACACCCAGCCCCUGCGUUGCAGUCUGGUGCCUGGUGUGCUCACAGGGCACUCCUUUCUUUCCGUAAUAAAGCCAUUAGAGCUUCACUGCAGGCUUUCUCUGCUCUUCACCCAAAUCGGGGUCGACGUGGCUGUUGUGUUUACCACACUGCUGGGCAGGUGUGAGAUUUGGAUACGGUACAGAAAAUGCAUCCACCAGCUGGAGGAAAAAGCACCAGAGGAAUUUCUAGCUUUGCUGUGAGUGAAAUAGCAAGAGCGGCUGCCCAGCAACUGCAUUUUGUAGCUUGCUGAGUUCAUCUCCGUUGGGGAAUGAUUAAUGAGGGUCCAGCUGUGAUGGGACAAGAACAUGGCUCAGGUGGACAGAAAAACACCCCAGAAAUUUCAAAAACUCUUUGAAAAAAGUGCAUGUCAGACAGGUCUUUUGAAUUACCACUUGCAGAAAAGCCACAAUACAGCAACUGCUUUGGGGACAGCUUGUGAGGAAACAACAGUCCUGGGAAAGAAAGCUCACCUCAGGUGAUAUCUGCAUGGGAUCCAUCUCCACAGCACCACUGCCAAAUCCAUCUCCUGUGAUCAGUAGUGCACUUCAGUAUUAUUUUAUUCAAAACUCAGUCCUAUUAAGAAAGAAACAGGCUUUUGGGCAAACGAUUGCUGCACAACACGUGCCCCUGGUGAGUGAACCAUGGGUCAUGGCUAUAUGAGCAAUCCCAGAGGUUUAUUACCCACCAUAUGGGAUGUCCCUGCCUGGGGUUUGCCAAUGAACAGCACUGAAUGAAUCGGUUGUGUUUCCCAGUUACAAACUCAUAACCAGAUGGGAUAUUAUGUUAUCUGUUCCUAUCUCCCCCUGAUCACAGAGCAUUUGCCCUCCAGCCUUUGUUUUAUGGCUAAAGAAGAACAGAUACUCCAGCAAGAUGUUAAAUCUUCACCUAAACUCUGUAUCUGCAUCGAAUCCUGCGUGAUUAAAUGCUGUCAGAUGAACUUUGUACUUCACUAGGGGAGAGGGGAGAUGUCCUCUUUAUCCUGAAAAGGUCUUAGGGCCUCAAAAAAGGAUGGUACCCACUGCACACAGAACAUCUGCACUCUGGCCACACAGCAGUUUCUAAAUGUUCUCAUCAAAUGAGAGCAUAAAAGAAAGGCAAGACCAAGUGUCUGUGGUGUUGAGGACUUAAAUGUGAGUUUUCACUGGAAAGUGCAACCACUAUGGGUGGUUUGCUCCCCUGAGAAAUGCCUCAGCCUCUGGGCUGGAGCAUGGAAAUAAUGGCUGGUAAGCAGUGAGAUGGGCUGGUAAUGUGCAGUCUGUUGAUAGUGAUGAAUUUUAGCCUUCAGGAAUUAGGUGAAGCCUCUCGUAGUCAGCAGUGGUCCUCUGAGAUUUGGAGGAGGGUGGGUGGAGUACUGGUAGAGAGGUGAAUGUUGAAGUUAGUGCAUUUAAGUGUGAAAUAAAUAUUAGAUCCAGGGCAGCAGAGGUCAGAGAUCUUAAAUCAAGAAAGCAUCUGUAGCUAAUACUGCUUUUCUGAAUGAAGCAGGUGAAUCCAUUUACCACUCAUUGGAAGGUAGAAGCAGUCAAGGCUUGGAAAGAAGUGAGCUGUGUCAUAUUUUUGACUUGCACAAGAAUUUUGCCAUCACCAAACACAACGAUACCAUGACUCAGUCAGGUAAACUGCUGUGAGAGGAUGAAAAACCAACUGGAAAGCCAUUCUUCCCACGUGGCUGUGACACUUGGAGGGCCCUUGCUGUGCCACCGUGGAGGACCAUGGAGCUCCAUCAGUGCUGGUACAGGGAGGCUCUACACAGUGCUGUGACACGUGUGAUGGAGAUGCCCCAAUACCCUCACUGCUCUGUGGCCAGGAGCAUUUGAUGGAGUGCACAACAGGAUGAUUUCUCAUGCCCCACAAUUCCCAAUCACUUCCCACAAGACAAGCAAAUAAAUAAAUGGAAGUACACUGGUGGCUUCUUACCACCCAUCCCUCCAGAUACAAAUAAUGUGAGUAUCACAAGCAUGUCUAAUUCACAUGAAUAAUUUAUGCAAAACAAUAAGUUCCUCACACCAAUAAACAGAAUAAAUACAACUCCCAGAGACCACAUUAGAGUCGAGGAUUCAUUUUUACAAAGAUAUAAAACCGUUAUGAUCAAGAAAGGGGAGAAAUAAUCUCUAUCAAUAACACUUCCUUAUUCUUCAUUGUUUUAUUUGCACGCUGCUGCAUCCCUGUGUAGUGUACAAUCCAUCCAGCUGUCCUGGGGAUGCCUUCGAAGCUGUUCCAGCA